rnacentral:misc_RNA from 1 species
AUAUUUUACUGUUGAUGAUGAAGAAGAAAAGUGAAAAAGGUGGUUACUUGCAGCGGAUGAGAGUUGCAUAAGGCAAUAGAGAGGGAGAGAGUCAGGGGAUGGAAGCGGCGGCGGCUUAGCAUUAUCUGAGACCAGUUCUCGGUGUGCGGUUAUUUUCUCGGGAAUUUGGGAGAGAACGUGUUGAGAUCUCGUAGGAGUUGAGUAGCAUAUGAUGGGUUGCUUUAGAUAGAAUCGAUCAAAUGGAUUUCACUGUAGAGUUGCUUCCACCGUCCCUAAGCAACGACGCCAAACAAGUUCCUAGGAAUUGAUCGGUCGCGACGUGUCUUGCCGUGUCUGGCGGCGCGGCGGUGCAGGCUCGGCGGCCCCUGCACUGACAGCGGCGCCAGCGAGAGAAUGUGGCCCUUCCUCUCUCGCGUGAGAGGCGUGGCACUUCGCUGGCCGAGGCUGGAGGGUCAGGCCAAGACACGCGAACUGCUGAGCCAGAUUCUGCUGCUGGGGAGGAAGCCCCAAACCGCCCCCGAGAAGGACGCCGGUAGGAGUGAGGGUCAGGAGGCCGCCUCCAGGAGGUGGCUGACUGUCAGCGUGGAGGGCAACAUUGGCAGCGGGAAGUCCACCUUCAUCCGCCAUUUCGGGAAGCUGGGUGAAGUGGAGGCUGUGCAAGAGCCAGUCGAAAAAUGGCGAGACCUGCACGGCCACAACCUCUUCAAGCUCAUGUACAAUGACCCCGUCCGCUGGUCGCACGCUUUCCAGACGUACGUGCAGCUGACAAUGGCCCAGAGUCAUUUGCAACCAUCCACUGCCCCCGUGAAGCUAAUGGAACGCUCUAUCCACAGUGCAAGGUACAUUUUUGUGGAGAACAUGUACCAGAGCGGCGUAAUGAGCGAGGCCGAGUACCACGUGUAUAACGAGUGGUACAAGGCCAUUCUGGGGUACGUGGAUUGCGGAGUUGAUCUCAUUGUAUACCUGCGCACCAAUCCUGAGCUGGUACAUGCGCGGAUCAAGGACCGUGCCAGGGACGAGGAGCAGCAGAUUCCACUUGAGUACAUCAAAGCCCUGCACAGUCACUAUGAGAAUUGGAUCUUUGAGGAGAAGUACCCUUUGCUGGCCCCUGUGCUUGUCAUUGAUGCAAAUGAUGAGCUAUCAACUAUGUAUAGGAAAUACAAGCACUAUACCAAUGUGAUUUUACAAAGAAAAGCUAUACUGAAUCUACUAUCCUAUUAAAAGAAAUGAGCAGCACAGAAGCGUCGUAGUGAUAUGACCCCAGAGGAGCUGGCAGCCCUGGAGAGAGAGGAAUUUGCAACAGGUCCCUUGCGUAUUCUUAAUGAGUCUGUUCAGAACAACACCCAGGUAUUGAUCAACUGCAGAAACAAC